ensembl:snRNA U6 U6 spliceosomal RNA
GUGCUUGCUUUGGCAGCACAUAUACUAAAAUUGUAAUGAUACAGAGAAGAUUAGAAUGGUCCUUACAUAAGGAAGACAUGCAAAUUCAUAAAGUGUUAUAUAUAUGU